UAGGGAAUAUUGGGCAAUGGGCGAGAGCCUGACCCAGCCAUGCCGCGUGAAGGAUGAAGGCCUUCUGGGUUGUAAACUUCUUUUAUACAGGAAGAAAAAGGUCAUGCGUGACCAAUUGACGGUACUGUAUGAAUAAGCACCGGCUAACUCCGUG
rnacentral:rRNA from 1 species